AAUGAAAAGAACAAAAGAAAAAGGAGAGAGUGAGAGGGAGGGAGAGAUCGUAGAAAGAAAAAGAAAGGAAGAUGAAAAAAUGUAAAAAUGGAAGAUCUGAUCUUCAAUCGAUCUCGACAUCGCCAGGAAUGGUUGGGUUUUGAUGCGUUUGGUGGGAAAAAGUUUCGGAAAAUUCAAUCUUGUGCCUUUUUUUUCCUGCAUUUUGUGUGUUUUUGCUGGAAUUGCUGAGUUUCUGGAAAUCGCUUUUGAUUUCAUCGGGGAGAGUUAGGUUUUGGAUGCGGUAGAUGUGGGAGAAAUCCCAAAGGUUUUAUUUUUUGCAUAUUGUGUAUGAGUUGUGGUUUGAUUUGUAGGAAUUUGCUUUGGAGUUUCUGAGAUUGGCCCCUUUCGGAGAUCUCUCUUCGACUCUGAUGUGAUUUGUUUGGAAAUUAGGGUUUUGGCCUUUUUUUAAGC